rnacentral:sRNA from 1 species
AGUUCAGGUGGGAAAACUGGCAACGCCUGUCCGAGCUUAACGAAGCGGCCGA